AAAAAGUUUCUGUGUCCAAUGUUUGACCGUCCAUCUUAUUUAAAAAAAUUAUAAAAAUAAUUAAAAAGAUAAGUCACGCAUAAAGUAUUAAUCAUGUUUUAUCAUCUAACAACAAUAAAAAUACUAAUUAUAAAAAAUUUUAUAUAAGACGGACAGUUAAAUGUUAGCACGGAAACCCAGGGUUUAUUUUUUU
rfam:Oryza sativa (indica cultivar-group) chromosome 6, whole genome shotgun sequence.